rnacentral:misc_RNA from 1 species
GAAAUGCGAUAAGUAAUGCGAAUUGCAGAAUUUCAGUGAAUCAUCGAAUCUUUGAACGCCCAUUGCGCCCGCCAGUAUUCUGGCGGGCAUGCCUGUUCGAGCGUCAUUUCAACCCUCAAGCCCCCGGGUUUGGUGUUGGGGAUCGGGCUGCGGUUCUACCGCGUCCCGGCCCCGAAAUCUAGUGGCGGUCUCGCUGCAGCCUCCAUUGCGUAGUAGCUAACACCUCGCAACUGGAACGCGGCGCGGCCAAGCCGUUAAACCCCCAACUUCUGAAUGUUGACCUCGGAUCAGGUAGGAAUACCCGCUGAACUUAAGC